AUGAACGCUGGCGGCGUGCUUAACACCUGCAAGUCGAACGGAAAGGCCCAAGCUUGCUUGGGUACUCGAGUGGCGAACGGGUGAGUAACACGUGGGUGAUCUGCCCUGCACUUCGGGAUAAGCCUGGGAAACUGGGUCUAAUACCGGAUAGGACGAUGGUUUGGAUGCCAUUGUGGAAAGUUUUUUCGGUGUGGGAUGAGCUCGCGGCCUAUCAGCUUGUUGGUGGGGUAAUGGCCUACCAAGGCGUCGACGGGUAGCCGGCCUGAGAGGGUGUACGGCCACAUUGGGACUGAGAUACGGCCCAGACUCCGACGGGAGGCAGCAGUGGGGAAUAUUGCACAAUGGGCGCAAGCCUGAUGCAGCGACGCCGCGUGGGGGAUGACGGCCUUCGGGUUGUAAACUCCUGUCGCUAGGGACGAAGCGUUUUUGUGACGGUACCUGGAGAAGAAGCACCGGCUAACUACGUG
rnacentral:rRNA from 1 species